AUACGGAGGAUGCAAGCGUUAUCCGGAUUUAUUGGGUUUAAAGGGUGCGUAGGCGGUUUGCUAAGCGGGAGGUGAAAUGCCGGCGCUCAACGUCGGAAGUGCCUCCCGAACUGGUGGACUGGAAUGACUCUGCCGUGGGAGGAAUGUGUAGUGUAGCGGUGAAAUGCUUAGAGAUUACACAGAACACCGAUUGCGAAGGCAUCUCACGAAGGGUUGAUUGACGCUGAGGCACGAAAGCGUGGGGAUCAAACAGGAUUAGAUACCCUGGUAGUCCACGCAGUAAACGAUGAUGGCUAACCGCUGGAUCCAUCGGUUCAGUGGCCAAGCGAAAGCGAUAAGCCAUCCACCUGGGGAGUACGACCGCAAGGUUGAAACUCAAAUGAAUUGGCGGGG
rnacentral:rRNA from 1 species